UACGUAGGGGGCAAGCGUUAUCCGGAAUUAUUGGGCGUAAAGAGCUCGUAGGCGGUUUGUCGCGUCUGCUGUGAAAACUGGAGGCUCAACCUCCAGCCUGCAGUGGGUACGGGCAGACUAGAGUGCGGUAGGGGAGAUUGGAAUUCCUGGUGUAGCGGUGGAAUGCGCAGAUAUCAGGAGGAACACCGGAUGGCGAAGGCAGAUCUC
rnacentral:rRNA from 1 species